GAGAGAGAGAGAGAGAGAGAGAGAGAGAGAGAGAGAGAGAGAGAGAGAGAGAGAGAGAGAGAGAGAGAGAGAGAGAGACGCACUGCCACCUCAUGGAGAAGAUCUUUUGAUUCCAGCAGCAGCCAUAUUGCAGGACAACAUUGGCCCCUGCGGACCACUCUGUGAGGGGAAUUUCGAUGAAGGGUUUCAGCACUAAAGAAAAGACCCUCAGAGACUCUCUGUGUCUCCUGUGUCAAAGCCAAGGGACAAACGAGACCUACAGGGAUGAGCUUGAUUUGAAAAAAUACUCCAGAACUGCGGAUGUCAGUAUAGAGCUGCUGUCCCAACGUGAAGAGACGGGUGAGACCCACCGGCUCGAGAUGAAGGCUUUUCUUGCAGUUUCCUUCCUGAAGGCUUGAUUAGCUGAAUCGGUUAUGAAGUUUCUGAGUUAGCUCUAAGCAGACAGCUCAAAAGCGGAAUAUGCCAACGGUAAAGGUGAAGUGGACUUCUUGUGACACCCCAUGUACGAGCAGAACAUCAUUAACAUUAUUUCACAGCUUGACUUUCAAGAAUGAAGCAUGUUUUUUUCUUGGAAGCUGAAUCUCAGCUCAACAGAACAGUCUUGAUGGUGUGCACAUUUUUACCUUG